rnacentral:lncRNA from 1 species
AGGGCAGGUAGAAUUUGGUUCUAAUGAUGGUCGUUUGCCAAAUCUUUUCAUAGUAAGCCAAAAAAUGAGGUAAGCAAGUAGUCCGAAUGGUCGGCCGAGCAUACGGGGUCUGAUCUGACCAAAAAAUCGGGCAAAACUAAUAAACUCGUCGUAAUUUUGCAGUUCGUGAGCUAUUACCGGGUCUACUAGAGUUGUUGUGAAGAUGCAACUAACAAACUAUCAUGUGGCCCAUCUACUGGGUCUUCAUCGGUCUCGUUGUUGCCUCUAUGCGUUCUUCAGGGCAAUAUUUUGGUUCUCAGAAGAAUCAAUCACAUUAUUGGACUAGGUCAUCACAGAAAAUUUAUGCGUCUACACUACGUUCAUAAGUUUGAACAUGCUUUUUCAUGUAAGACCAUUGAGGCAUUGACCUAUAUUCCGACUAGUGUCAAAGUCUUUUUCAUGUAAGACCAUCGAGGCAUUGACCUGGAUUGACUUACUUUUAGUUUACUCAACAAUUUAAUUUACUCUGUCCAUUGGUCCCAAUUUUGUUCAGUUAACACUUUAAUUAACUCAUCUUAAUGCUAAGGUUGGGAAAUGACGUCACCAAACUGCAAGAAAAUAACCAUAUCUGUUAAUUAACUCAUCUUAUUGUUCAAUUGGGAAAUGACGUCACCAAAUAGCUAGAAAAUAAAGAAAUCUGACAUAAAAAAACAUAUGAGCCACGUACCAGGAAAUAGAAAAGAAAGCACAUCAUUCUGCACUGGAAUAUGAUGAUCUUCCUCUUCUUGUGUCUGGAUAUGGCUAAACGAUUGAUCAGCCUCACAAUAAUAUGCUUAAACGAGAAGAAACCGGAUGGAGGGUAGAUUCUUGGUGGGGAACCCGAUUUGGAUGGGUGACAAAUGGGAGGGUGCCAGCAAGGAUGGACAUGGAUAUGCACCAAAAAGUUAUUUAGAUCUCAAUCUGUGAAGGUGCUUGUCGACCGAAAGUUUGAAUUAUUGGAGACCUAUGCCACCUUUUAUUGAUUAUGUACCAUCAAGUACUCCCUCUAUAAAGAAAUAUAAUAGUGUUUUAAUCAUUAAAAUUAUGAUCUAAACGUUUUAUUUUCUUUUACGAAGGGAGUAUUUAAUUUUAGGUUUACUCAGUCUAGAUCUUGACUGGUAAUCCUAUAUAAAUGAGAGCAUCGUCUCAUAUGGAGAUGGAACAAUCAGAUUUUUUAUGAUGGAAAUUCCUUUUGAAUAUGUAUGCAGAAGUAAUAGGAUCGAAUUUUGAGUAGCAAUCGCUUGGACCACACUAGAAAAGUUUGAAGUACUAUUCUACAAAUAAGAAGUCGUCCCUUACUAUUAAGCAUCGCUUGGUCUCGAGCGAGAGGGAGGUGGAUAAAACGACGGACAGUGGUCUGUAGCGGAUACAAUCCUGUUACGGGUGUAAAUAAGAAAACCAGUGUAUAAAUUGCAGUCCAAAAAACGACAUACCAAGCACUAACGUUAGAUCCAUCCAUUUUUGUUUUACAAGGGUAUAUUACAACGGUGUAUUGGGCCUCAAACCGACGAAUCAAGCGGGGCCUUAAUAUAUUAGCGAUUUUCGAGCUCUUCUUCCGUUAAUUAACUAAACAAAAAAAAUCAGUUGUUCAUAAAUGUAUUUUUAUGCCCCAAUAUCAAUGCACACUUUACGGAUACAUAUAUCACCUAAUUAAAUGUCUCAAAAGAAGGACACAUAUUGAAAGUUUUUGCUAUUUUACAAUGGUUUGACAAUAAAAUUAUUUCACAUCUAUUAAAUUUAGUGAUUUUUAUUUCCGUGACCCCACUUCCUUACUUGUCCUCAGUUCUGCCCCGCCCAACUAACGUAGCUCACGUUUUCCUUUCUCCCUCCACCACGUGCUCACAAAAGUCCAAAUGAAGCACUUUCAUCCGGUCAAAGCGUUUGAACAUUACCUCUUAAGUAGUGGGGUCGCAUGAUAUCCUGAUGGGUGGGGUCGGUCUACUCUCUCUCACCACAGCGUCGACGCGUUAGAAUCCUGACAUGUUGGGUCAAGACAACUUAUGACACGUGGGAUCGCGUGAUACUUUGACUGGU